GACAGAGGGUGCAAACGUUGUUCGGAAUCACUGGGCGUAAAGCGCGUGUAGGCGGCAGUGCAAGUCGGAUGUGAAAUCCCGCGGCUCAACCGUGGAAGUGCACCCGAAACUGCACAGCUCGAGUGUCGGAGAGGAAGGUGGAAUGCUUGGUGUAGAGGUGAAAUUCGUAGAUAUCAAGCGGAACACCGGUGGCGAAGGCGGCCUUCUGGACGACGACUGACGCUGAGACGCGAAAGCGUGGGUAGCAAACAGG
rnacentral:rRNA from 1 species